UAAGCGCUGUAAGGCGUUGAGCUAACUGAUACUAAUGAUCCGUGUGGCUUGACCAUAUAACCUCA
rnacentral:rRNA from 1 species